rnacentral:rRNA from 1 species
AACGAACGCUGGCGGCAUGCCUAACACAUGCAAGUCGAACGAGACCUUCGGGUCUAGUGGCGCACGGGUGCGUAACGCGUGGGAACCUGCCUUUAGGUUCGGAAUAACUCAGAGAAAUUUGAGCUAAUACCGGAUAAUGUCUUCGGACCAAAGAUUUAUCGCCUUUAGAUGGGCCCGCGUAAGAUUAGCUAGUUGGUGGGGUAAAGGCCUACCAAGGCGACGAUCUUUAGCUGGUCUGAGAGGAUGAUCAGCCACACUGGGACUGAGACACGGCCCAGACUCCUACGGGAGGCAGCAGUGGGGAAUAUUGGACAAUGGGCGAAAGCCUGAUCCAGCAAUGCCGCGUGAGUGAUGAAGGCCUUAGGGUUGUAAAGCUCUUUUACCCGAGAUGAUAAUGACAGUAUCGGGAGAAUAAGCUCCGGCUAACUCCGUGCCAGCAGCCGCGGU